CUCUUAAUUACUGAUUAACAUGGGAUUGUUUAGGGAGUCUGUAAUUAGUAUAGCUAUACAUAGAUUGGGGACGCAACGUCCUCGACCUAUUCUCAAACUUUAAAUAGGUAGGAUGGCGCGGCUGCUUCGGUGAGCCAUGCCACGGAAUCGGGUGCUCCAAGUGGGCCAUUUUUGGUAAGCAGAACUGGCGAUGCGGGAUGAACCGGAAGCCGGGUUACGGUGCCCAACUGCGCGCUAACCUAGAACCCACAAAGGGUGUUGGUCGAUUAAGACAGCAGGACGGUGGUCAUGGAAGUCGAAAUCCGCUAAGGAUUGUGUAACAACUCACCUGCCGAAUCAACUAGCCCCGAAAAUGGAUGGCGCUGAAGCGCGCGACCCACACCCAGCCAUCUGGGCGAGCGCCAUGCCCCGAUGAGUAGGAGGGCGCGGCGGCCGCUGCAAAACACGGGGCGUGAGCCCGGGCGGAGCGGCCGUCGGUG
rnacentral:ncRNA from 2 species